UACGUAGGGGGCUAGCGUUGUCCGGAAUCAUUGGGCGUAAAGAGCGUGUAGGCGGUCCGGUAAGUCCGCUGUGAAAGUCGGGGGCUCAACCCUCGAAUGCCGGUGGAUACUGUCGGGCUAGAGUGCGGAAGAGGCGAGUGGAAUUCCUGGUGUAGCGGUGAAAUGCGCAGAUAUCAGGAGGAACACCUAUUGCGAAGGCAGCUCGCUGGGACGUAACUGACGCUGAGACGCGCAAGCGUGGGGAGCAAACAGG
rnacentral:rRNA from 1 species